rnacentral:tRNA from 2 species
GGGGGUAUAGCUUAAUGGUAAAGUAUACUGCUCAUAACAGUACUUAUAGGGGUUCAAAUCCCUUUGUCCCCA